UGGGGAAUUUUGGACAAUGGGGGAAACCCUGAUCCAGCCAUCCCGCGUGUGCGAUGAAGGCCUUCGGGUUGUAAAGCACUUUUGGCAGGAAAGAAACGUCAUGGGUUAAUACCCCGUGAAACUGACGGUACCUGCAGAAUAAGCACCGGCUAACUACGUGCCAGCAGCCGCGGUAAUACGUAGGGUGCAAGCGUUAAUCGGAAUUACUGGGCGUAAAGCGUGCGCAGGCGGUUCGGAAAGAAAGAUGUGAAAUCCCAGAGCUCAACUUUAGAACUGCAUUUUUAACUACCGGGCUAGAGUGUGUCAGAGGGAGGUGGAAUUCCGCGUGUGGCAGUGAAAUGCGUAGAUAUGCGGAGGAACACCGAUGGCGAAGGCAGCCUCCUGGGAUAACACUGACGCUCAUGCACGAAAGCGUGGGGAGCAAACAGG
rnacentral:rRNA from 1 species